rnacentral:rRNA from 1 species
UACAGAGGGUGCGAGCGUUGUCCGGAAUCACUGGGCGUAAAGGGCGCGUAGGCGGCUUGAUAAGCGUGCGGUGAAAGCCCGGGGCUCAACCCCGGGUCGGCCGUGCGAACUGUCGAGCUGGAGCACUGUAGAGGCAGGUGGAAUUCCGGGUGUAGCGGUGGAAUGCGUAGAUAUCGGGAGGAACACCAAUGGCGAAGGCAGCUUGCUGGGACGGUACUGACGCUGAGGCGCGAAAGCGUGGGGAGCAAACAGG